rnacentral:tRNA from 1 species
GUGGCUCAGUGGUAGAGCACUUGCCUUGCAUGCAUGAGGUCCUGGGUUCGAUUCCCCAGC